GCCGCGGUAGUAUAGCCAGGCCAUUAUGCGGGCCUGUCGAGCCCGUGACCCGGGUUCAAAUCCCGGCCGCGGCG
rnacentral:tRNA from 1 species